UACGAAAGGUGCAAGCGUUACUCGGAAUCACUGGGCGUAAAGCGCACGUAGGCGGACUCGUAGGUCAGUUGUGAAAUACCUGGCUCAACCCGGGAACUGCAGCUGAAACCGCUUGUCUUGAAUACCUGAGAGGGUGGGGAAUACCUGGUGGAGAAGUGAAAUUCGUAGAGAUCAGGUGGAACACCGGAGGCGAAGGCGCCUGCCUGGCAGUGUAUUGACGCUGAGGUGACGAAGUGCGGGGAGCAAACAGG
rnacentral:rRNA from 1 species